rnacentral:sRNA from 1 species
CCAACAUUAUAUUUUAUCACAGACUCAAAAAUAAUUAAAUUAUUCUUUCAUUCAGAACAUCUGACACAUGACAGACAUUUUAAGUGCUGAGGGGGCUUCAAAGCGCUUUAUCUUAUUGAAAACCAAUGUUUAUAAAUACUGUUCAGACUGUUUGAAUUGGAGAGCGUUGUGUUUAUUUACAAAGGAGUAAUACAAUAGAUAUAUGUGAAAUGGAUUUAAAUAGCACACAUAACCCAAGUUAUUGGUUCGUCAUAAGAGAAGAUCAAAGCAAUGUCAUAUUCAGCAGCAAUAAUUUUACAAUACAAAACCAACAAAUUUCAGGACAAGAGGCAAGAUAUAUUGUUGACUCAGCCGAAACAGGCAAGUAUAUCGAAAUUGAUGAUGCUCCAGUAAUAGUUCAAGAAACCACAGAAACUUUUGAUAAAGAUCCACUUAGAAGUAAGGAUGAAGAUAACUUUUGGGACAGAAAUAAAGUAAAAACACUUCUUAAUUUAUGUUUAGAGAACAGGUUUAAAAAUUCACUCAAAGAUAAGUCUCUAUGGCAAGAAAUUGCUAAACAUCUAGGAACCACUGUUGAUGAGUGUAAUAAAAAUAUAGGAAUCUUCGAAGGACAUACACAAGAUUACUAAAAAAAGAAAAAGAUUAGGGAAAGAAAUCAAAUGGGUUCAUUAUAAUAUUUGUGAAGAAGUAUUUAAGGAGUGUAAAACUCUUCCUCCAUCAGUAUUGGAACCAUGGGAAGAUUAUAAAAUACGGAAGCUGCUUAGCUUAUACAUUGAAAAUCUACAUAAAUUUAGAAGUCCAGACUGUUUGCAAAAAGGAUGUGUGGAAAGAAAUAGCAACUCAAAUGGGAACUACAGAGUAUAAUUGUUACCAUAAGUUCAAGAACUUGAAAAGAGCUUUACUUGAACUGGUUGGAGAGAAGUCGCGAAACUGGGAAGCCUAUAAAAUGGCAAUACCAUCAAUACUUUGAAAGAAUAUUUUAUAACUAUAGUCCUACAUUAGGUCCCUGGGAUAGAAACAAAACACGAUUACUAAUGGAUGCAUAUGUUCAGAUAGCAGAUAAAUUCAAAAUCCAAGAAUACAAAAGAAAGAACUUUGGAAAGAAAUAGCCACUGUAGUAGGCGAAAGUGCUAGUGACUGUGACAAAAAAUUUCGAAACCUUAAACAAACAUAUAUUCGGCUUAAAAUGAAGGCAGACUCAGGUAGAAGCAUUACAAAAUGGCGAUAUUUCAAAGAUUUUGAUACUAUCUAUGGAAAUACAACUAUAGCGAGCACAGAAGAACCUAAAAUCACCCAGAAGUCGACACAAGAAGAUUAUGUAAAGCUAUUGCUUUCAUUUUAUUUGGAAAACAAGGAAAAAUUUCGGGACCCAUUAAUCAAAAAGAAAAAUGUAUGGAGAAUUUUGACACCGAAAAUUGGUUUAUCCACUGAAGAGUGCGACAGAAAGUUUAGAAAUUUAAAGCAGACUUAUAUUAGGCUAGCAGAGAAAAAGCGCGAAACCGGAAAAAAUAACAACUGGCCAUAUUAUGCGUACUUCGAGAAAAUAUUCGACCAACCUACUGUUCCCGGUACGUGUAACCACGUAAAUGUAGAUGACGUUACGUUGUCAGAAAUAAAACGUGUAGUGCGCGACAUUCAAGACAAGAAAGAUAACGACAAAUUCGAAAGGCUCUUACAGCACAUAGAAGAAUCUAAUAAUAUUCAAAGAGAGAGAAACAGAAUAUUACAAGCAAUUUUGGAUAGGAAAUAAAAAAUUACAGUUGAAGAUUA